AGAACGAACGCUGGCGGCAUGCCUAAUACAUGCAAGUCGAACGAACACUUCGGUGUUAGUGGCGCACGGGUGCGUAACGCGUGGGAAUCUGCCCUUGGGUUCGGAAUAACAGUUGGAAACGACUGCUAAUACCGGAUGAUAUCGAAAGAUCAAAGAUUUAUCGCCCAGGGAUGAGCCCGCGUAGGAUUAGCUAGUUGGUGAGGUAAAGGCUCACCAAGGCGACGAUCCUUAGCUGGUCUGAGAGGAUGAUCAGCCACACUGGGACUGAGACACGGCCCAGACUCCUACGGGAGGCAGCAGUACGGGAAUAUUGGACAAGUGGGACGCAAGCCUAGACUCCAGCAAUCGCCGACGUGAGUGAAGUGAAGGCCUUAGGGUUACGUAAA
rnacentral:rRNA from 1 species